GCACGCAAGCGUCCAUAGGAAAGCAUUAUGAAUGCUUUCCUAUGUUACCGGCUGAAUGCGCGCGCAGCUCUUGCCGCGCGUGCGCAUUCAGCCGACGGGGAGGAGAGAAGGGGGAUCGGAGGAGGAGAGCUCCCCGCCCAGCGCUGGAAAAAGGUAAGUUUAACCCCUUUUCCCCUUUCCAGAGCCGGGAGGGAGGGGGUCCCUGAGGGUGGGGGCACCCUCAGGGCACUAUAGUGCCAGGAAAACGAGUAUGUUUUCCUGGCACUAUAGUGGUCCUUUAA